AAACGGAUGGGCCCUCGAAGUCCUGUGGUGGGAGGAUUCAGUUGAAUGAUGCAGGNGCAGGAUGCCGAGCCGGACAGACCCAUACAUAAUCCKCUUUUGAGCGAAGGUCCAGCACGCCCAKUGCCCGCGUCGGACGACNCAUUUGCUUCCCGCCCUAAGGAAGCCGCAACCGGUUGGGAGCCGGCC
rnacentral:rRNA from 1 species